AUUGAACGCUGGCGGCAUGCCUAACACAUGCAAGUCGAGCGGAGAGGCGGACGGGUGAGUAAUGACUAGGAAUCUGCCUGGUAGUGGGGGAUAACGUCCGGAAAGGGGCGCUAAGACAGCAGACUCGCCGAGGAGCCUCGGUCGGAAUAGCUAGUUGGGGGGGUAAAGGCCUACCAAGGAGACGAUCCGUCUCUGGUCUGAGAGGAUGAUCAGUCACACGGGAACUGAGACACGGCCCAGACUCCUACGGGAGGCAGCAGUGGGGAAUAUUGGACAAUGGGCGAAAGCCUGAUCCAGCCAUGCCGCGUGUGUGAAGAAGGUUUUCGGAUUGUAAAGCACUUUAAGUUGGGAGGCGUUACCAACAGAAUAAGCACCGGCUAACUUCGUGCCAGCAGCCGCGGUAAGAC
rnacentral:rRNA from 1 species